GUCGGUGAGUGACGCCUAUCAGCGAUAUCAGGUCGUGUCUGGGCGCGGUUCGUACUUCGAUGCGCGACCGCUAUGGCCCUACCGGGAUGGCCUUACCGGUACGGACCCUAAGUAGGUUUACCCCCACCGAUGGGUGACCACUAUCGAUAGAUGUCUACGCUCUAGCGACGACCUCGUGGAACCCCUAUAAUCGGAUACGCCCCCCCCUCCG
rnacentral:rRNA from 1 species